UACAGAGGGUGCUAGCGUUAAUCGGAAUUACUGGGCGUAAAGGGUGUGUAGGUGGUUGUGUAAGUUAGAUGUGAAAUCCCCGGGCUCAACCUGGGAACUGCGUUUAAGACUGCAUAACUAGAGUACUGUAGAGGAUAGUGGAAUUUCCAGUGUAGCGGUGAAAUGCGUAGAUAUUGGAAGGAACACCAGUGGCGAAGGCGACUAUCUGGACAGAUACUGACACUGAGACACGAAAGCGUGGGGAGCAAACAGG
rnacentral:rRNA from 1 species